AAAUAAGAAACAAAACUUGUAAUUAGUUUCGACCUAAUCCUUGGCAUAUGCCCUUAUUUA
rnacentral:tRNA from 1 species